AUGUGACCUGUACGAGACCCUUGCCAUCACCCAGAGUGUCAUCUUUGUCAACACCCGCCGCAAGGUGGACUGGCUCACUGACAAGAUGAGGAGCAGGGACCACACUGUUUCUGCCACUCACGGUGACAUGGAUCAGAACACUAGGGACAUCAUCAUGAGGGAGUUCAGGUCUGGUUCAUCCCGUGUGCUCAUCACCACCGACCUGCUUGCCCGUGGUAUCGAUGUUCAGCAGGUGUCCUUGGUCAUCAACUACGAUCUCCCCACCCAGCCUGAGAACUACCUGCAUCGCAUUGGUCGUAGUGGUCGUUUCGGUAGGAAGGGUGUUGCCAUCAACUUUGUGACCCGUGAUGAUGAGAGGAUGCUGUUUGACAUACAGAGGUUCUACAACGUGGUGAUUGAGGAGCUGCCUGCCAACGUCGCUGAC
rnacentral:lncRNA from 1 species